rnacentral:rRNA from 1 species
UACAGAGGUCUCAAGCGUUGUUCGGAUUCAUUGGGCGUAAAGGGUGCGUAGGCGGCGCGGUAAGUCGGGUGUGAAAUCUUGGAGCUUAACUUCGAAACUGCAUUCGAUACUGCCGUGCUUGAGGACUGGAGAGGAGACUGGAAUUUACGGUGUAGCGGUGAAAUGCGUAGAUAUCGUAAGGAAGACCAGUGGCGAAGGCGGGUCUCUGGACAGUUCCUGACGCUGAGGCACGAAGGUCAGGGGAGCAAACGGG